GGUUCCAGUAAAGUGUAGAGGUGCCAUCACGUUCGCUUCACACGCGAAAGGUCUCCGGUUCGAUCCCGGACGGAACCA